CUGUUCACUGGGGUAAAAAUACAGAUUUUAAUACCCGUCUUAUUUUAGUUCUAAGACUUGGCAAUUGCCAGGUAUCAUCUUUUCGAUUUACCCAGGUCCACCGCCGAGGCCACAAGGGAGAUUUCUUCCAGAGAGAGGAUAGAGUUAUUAAGUCUAAAGUCCAUUAUUUGCUUUUGUCCUUCAGGAAAAGAUGGUCCUGACUCUGGGUGGAUCUAACAAGGAUCCUGGAACUCCAGGGGUAUGGCUUAAUUCUUAGCGGAUUCGAUCCUGGCUUUACAUCAAGUCUCACAGGUUCUGCUUUUUGGAUUUACCGGGAACUUCCCAGUCCAGACGAUUGGAAUUACAGCAUUAUACUUUGACUGGUAUGAUCUUCUGCUUUCGGGAACGCUGCGAGGAGCUUUGUGAGUCGAGGGCGAUGGUUCUCCCCGAGAAUACCUCGGCGCCGGCCGGAGUUCGAUCGACACUCGAUCUCGUCCGGUCUCACUCGCAAGGUCCCGUCUGGGUCGCCAAAACCGUUACCGAAAUCCGGAAUAGAACUCCUUAACACCAACGUGAAGUUAAGAAGCGGGCACUUCGUUUAUCGCAGCGCUGGGGACACCGGGGAUCGCUCCUCCAAAGGCGUGUCCCACUUAGUAUCAAAAUCCAUCAGUUUUUACAGACUUUUUCUGUCAGGUCAUUGUUACAUAAGCUCUUUCCAUAAAAAGGCAUACUAUGCUCGUUCUUAAAUUUAACCUUUCUAAGGAUUGGUCCUUUGAUUAUAUAACCUUAUCAAUAUUCUUAUUUAAAAACAAUCAUUGGUCAGUUAC